rnacentral:lncRNA from 1 species
GGGAGGGGGUUGGAGGGGACUGGGAGGUACUGGGAGGGGGUUAGAGGGGACUGGGAGGCACUGGGAUAUACUGAGAUGGGAGUGGGAGGGACUGGGAGGGGGUUGGAGGGAACUGGGAGGUACUGGGAGGGAGUUAGAAGGGACUGGGAGGCACUGAGAUAUACUGGGAUGUGAGUGGGAGGGACUGGGAGGGAGUUGGAGGAGACUGGGAGGGGGUUGGAGGGGACUGGGAGGGACUGGGAUGGGACUGGGAGAGGGUCGGAGGGAACUGGGAUGGACUGGGAUAUACCGGGAUGGGAAUAGGAGGGACUGGGAGAGGACUGGGAGGGGGUUGGCAGGGACUGGGAGAGGACUGGGAGGUAUUGGGAGUGACUGGGAAAGCAUUGGGGGGGACUGGGAGGGAUUGGGAGGCACUGGGAGGGAAUGGGGGGGUCACUGGGAGGGGACUGGGAGCAGCUGGGAGGAUCCCAGUUUGCUGGAGUGGGACGCCGGUAGGGACUGGGGGGGUCACUGGGAGGGGGUUGGAGGGGACUGGGAGGGACCGGGAAGGGGUUGGAGAGGACUGGGAGGCACUGGGAGGGGGUUGGAGGGGACUGGGAAGGACUGGGAUAUACUGGGGUGGGAGUGGGAGGGGGUUGGAGAGGACUGGGAUAUACUGGGAGGGGACUGGAAAGGCACUGGAGGGCACUGGGAAGACACUGGGAAAACACCGGGAGGGACUGGGAAGGCAUUGGGGGGGACUGGGAAGGACUGAGAAGGAUUGGGAGGCACUGGGAGGGACUGGGAGAAUUCCAGUUUGCUGGAGUGGGAUGCUGGGAGGGACUGGGAUGUACUGGGAGAGACUAGGAGGGCACUGGGAAGGACUGGGAGGGAAUAGGGGGGUGACUGGGAAGGAGUGGGAGGGGCUGGGAGGAUCCCAGUUUGCUGGAGUGGGACGCCGGGAGGGACUGGGAGGGGGUUGGAGGGGACUGGGAGGCACUGGGAGGGCCUGGGAUAUACUGGGAUAUAUGUCCCCUUGGGUGCCACCGUCUCCCACCGUGUCCCACCACCUCCCACUGGGUGCCACCAUCUCCCACCAAGUCCCGUUGGGUCCCACCAAGUCCCACCACGUGCCACCGGGUGCCACCAAGUGUCACCACGUCCCCUUGGGUGCCACCAACUGCCCCCACAUCCCAUCUCCCACCAUCUCCCAUUGUGUCCCACCAUCUCCCACUGGGUGUCACCAACUGCCCCCACAUCCACGUCCCACCAUCUCCCACCAUCUCCCAUUGUGUCCCACCAUCUCCCACUGGGUGCCACCACCUUCC